rnacentral:rRNA from 1 species
AGUGAACGCUGGCGGUAGGCCUAACACAUGCAAGUCGAACGGCAGCACAGUAAGAGCUUGCUCUUACGGGUGGCGAGUGGCGGACGGGUGAGGAAUACAUCGGAAUCUACUUUUUCGUGGGGGAUAACGUAGGGAAACUUACGCUAAUACCGCAUACGACCUACGGGUGAAAGCAGGGGAUCUUCGGACCUUGCGCGAUUGAAUGAGCCGAUGUCGGAUUAGCUAGUUGGCGGGGUAAAGGCCCACCAAGGCGACGAUCCGUAGCUGGUCUGAGAGGAUGAUCAGCCACACUGGAACUGAGACACGGUCCAGACCCCUACGGGAGGCAGCAGUGGGGAAUAUUGGACAAUGGGCGCAAGCCUGAUCCAACCAUACCGCGUGGGUGAAGAAGGCCUUCGGGUUGUAAAGCCCUUUUGUUGGGGAAGAAAAGCAGCAGGUUAAUACCCCGCUGUUCUGACGGUACCCAAAGAAUAAGCACCGGCUAACUUCGUG